UACGGGGGGAGCAAGCGUUGUUCGGAUUUACUGGGCGUAAAGGGCGCGUAGGCGGUCGUGACAAGUCACUUGUGAAAUCUCCGGGCUUAACUCGGAACGGUCAAGUGAUACUGUCGGACUAGAGUACAGAAGGGGCAACUGGAAUUCUCGGUGUAGCGGUGAAAUGCGUAGAUAUCGAGAGGAACACCUGAGGUGAAGACGGGUUGCUGGGCUGACACUGACGCUGAGGCGACGAAAGCCAGGGGAGCAAACGGG
rnacentral:rRNA from 1 species